rnacentral:lncRNA from 1 species
ACCGAGACCGAACCGACCUAACGCCUGUGCCUGUGCGUGCGCGCGCGCGCGUACAUUCGGGCAGAGGCGACAGGAAGCAGUACCCGCCCACCUACCUCCUCCGCGUAGGAGGAAGCCAGGUGUCCUUCGUGUCCCAAGAGCAAAGGUCAGCCCCUGAGUGAGGGAGGUCACCGAGGAAAUGGGUUUCAGGGCUAAAUCAUUGUCCCUCCCAGACAUCGCUUUGCAGUGCAGAACCAAUUUGAAAAUGUGGCAUGAUCAGCAGUCUCGCCCGAGGAGAGACCAGGACCAGCGCAAAGGGAGUCUAAAGACAAGCAUGGAAAAACAUCCCAGCUGCCCUGUGUGGCGACUUUUUGGUGGAUUAGCAUCUGUGAACAAGGGUUUUCCCAGAAGAAAAGGACCUCCAAAAGGAUUCCUACUGAGGACAAAGGUGAGGGUCCAGAACCUUUCCCAAGUUUGUUUCAAAUAUUCA